rnacentral:lncRNA from 1 species
CCCAGAGGGAUAGACGGGUAUCCGGGAUCCGACGGUCUUCCCGGUCUUCCUGGUUUACCGGGUCUGCCUGGAUCCAAAGGCCGAACAGGUCAGCGCGGCGAUACCGGUCUGGAAGGGAGGGCGGGACUUCCUGGCCCGCGGGGCGAGCUUGGACUUCCUGGUGUCGUCGGAGAGAGAGGGCCAGUGGGGUCAAAGGGCGAGAUGGGUUUACCGGGCGACGGAGGACCGGCGGGUGCUAAAGGCAUGGAGGGGGCGGCGGGAGACCAAGGCGUGAAGGGAGAGCAAGGUGCCAAAGGAGAACCAGU